UUUUUAUUUUAUUUUUGCGACCUCUUGGCACCGGCAGCGUUCAAGCAAGGGGAUUUGUCGCUCAACAGGCCCAUCGGAUUAUAGGAGCAGGUUGCAUUUGGUCGUGGUUUUUUGUUUUUUAUCCCUCCCAUCAGCCCAAAAAUGUUUUCAGAGCAGCCCACGGAUCUGCCGGGAAGCUUACAAUCUUAAAAGACGCCACGCGAAAGGCAAAUACAGUAGGUUGGAAGGGAGGAGGAAAUAAGCGAAGCCAAGUGCAAGGUCUUAGUUACAAGUGCUGUUAGUAUUUGUUUAUAUGUAUAAUAACAAAGUUUGCCAAAACAGAAAGAAAACCAAAACCAAGGAAAAAUAUAAAAAUAGCGGUGAGAGAAAAGCAGAAAAAAACCAUCCGUUCACAUUAAAAAGGCAGUCAUCAAUAUGUCCAUCUUAAUGUAAACAUAUUAAGCGGUAUGUGCUAUGCAAAUGUCCACACAAAGUUGGCAGUUAUAAGAAAUCUGUUCAAAUGUGCACAUCAAAUGCACAGUUAAAGCAUAUGACUCCCCCCCCCCUUCCGGGGAAAUAAGAAUCCUGAGAACUUUAGUUUUUCGUUCAUGGAGAUACAGUUCCUAGCUGCCUUGAACUACAGUUCCCAGGAUUCCUUUGGGGGAAACCAUGUGCUUUAAGUGUGUGUUGGAUGUGCUUUAAAUGCAUGGUGUAGAUCUGCCUUAUAUAGAUGCAAUAGUUAAAUGUUCUUCUAAUGACAAGCUGGGGUGGGAAAAGUCAAGAACAGGAGCCAAAAGUUGCUCAAAUGAAGUGGCCUCGCAUCCUUUCUCAUCCUUCCUCUGUUACAACCUGAUGUCUUGGCUGUUGCCUGGGUUACAAGAAAGUUAUGUGUGAUCCAAGAGGUCAGGUGUACUCCCAGGUGUUUGUGGGUGUCACACCUGCCCAGGAUCCAGAAUUGCUUUGCGAUAUUGCAAAGGGAUCCUCUGGGUCUUGAGUUGUGAUGUGUAGCUCAACCCAAUAUGUUCACGGCUGCUGUGAAAAAAAGGCAAAUUCCAUGUUGGGGAUCAUUAGGAAACAUAAAGUCAAAUAAAUAAAACUGCCAAUAUCACAAUGCCCUUUUAUGCCAAUCUUUGAUGCAAACACAUUUUGAAUACUUUGUACACUUCCAGACAUCACAUCUCAAAAAGAAUAUUGAAAAGUCGCAGAAAAGGGCAACCAGAAUGAUCAAGGGACUGGAGCAAUUCAAUUGCAAGGAAAGGUUACGGUGUUUGGGACUCUUUAUCUCAGAAAAAAGGCAAGUAAAGGAGGACAGUAAAAGAGCUGUACAAAAUUAUGCAUGGUUGAGGGAAAGUAGAUCUCAUAAUAGUAACACCUGGAGUCAUCCAAUUAAGCAGAAUAUCGGGAGAUUCAGGACAGUCGAAAGGAACUACUUGUUUGUACAAAAGGUUGUUAGAACUAUAGAAUUCUCUACUACAAGAUGCUCUGGAUUGCUUUAAGAGAGUAAGAAUGGCUACUAUGAUCAUACAUUAUUUCUAGUAUCAGAGGCAGUAUGCUCUUAAAUAUCAGUUGCAGGAGAAGACUACGAUGCUCAAUUCCUACUUUGGGGCUUCCCAUUAUCUAAUGGCUCACUACUGGUAAAAUGGCAGCAGUCUAGAAUAUACCUUUGGACUGAUCAUGCAAGACAUUUCUUAGGUCCUUAUUGCUAUGGAUUUGUGGGUGCCCUGACUCCUCCAGGUUUCUGGGUGCCCUGACCCCCUAGAUUCCUGGGUGCUGGGGUUUAAUCAGUGUGUUGAGAAUUAAGGUGAGCUGUGUCCUUCUGCAGGAGGUUUUUGGAAAAAGCAAGAAGAAAGGUGGGGCAGAACGCCAUGCGGACUGGCAGGGAGAGGCUGCACCCAGAGACGGGGGAACAUAGCUGACUUCUGCUCUGGACACAAGCUUUGCUGAAGCUAUGAGAGAAGGAGCAAGAGACACUCUUGAAGUGUAAAGUUCUGCAUUCCCUCCCUCAAGGCUCUGGUGCGGGUGGGUGUGUAAAGAAACCAUAUAUCUUAAAGACACUACAGUCUGCGCUGUGCCUCAUUCCAAAGGAAACAUGAACCCUGGUUAAGUGCCAAGACCCCUGGAAUUUUGCACCACUUGGCAAAGACUGAGGUGGGCUGUAGCGUCUUUUCUCAAGAGAUGUGGUGCAGAUCUUCUCCCUGGCCUCUUCCCUUUCUGCCUGCUGAUUGCUGAAGAAGGCAAGCAAUUUCUCCAGAACACCGAUUUGGAUUGUUGGAUGCACUUUUGUAGAGCCGCCAACUUGAAACCUUGGAAAGAAAGAAAUUAUGGGCAUGGGGCGAAGGAGAUCUGCUUUUCUUCAAGCACUAGUGCCAAGUGAAUGAUGCUACCUGAAAGGUCGCCUGCCCCUGUAUAGACCUGAAAGAUCGCUUGUCUUAGAUCAUUUGGGGAAAUUCUACCACACCCUACUGCCGAGCUUUCCAAAUUUUUCAAAUUGGUGACACACUUUUUAGACAUGCAUCACUUCGUGACACAGUAAUUCAGUUUUACUGUCAAGCCGGAGGUUAAACUAACUCCUUGUGGGAGAUAUGGACACAUAUUGCGUGACAUACCUACACACUGCAGCCAACACACUAACGUGUCGCAACACACAGUUUGGAAAGUUCUGCCCUACUAAAUACCAUAGGCGCUGACCUGAAAACAGGCAUUUUCUGCUACUGCGCCUUCACUAUGGAAUACCCUUCCCUCUGUCAUACGUGAAGCAGCAGCCAUCAGUUGAUUCAGACAUCAUGUAAAGACAUAUAUUUUUGAGCAGGCUUUCCCUGACACAUAGAACUGGACUGUGGGAGUGC
rnacentral:lncRNA from 1 species